AGAUGGAGCAUGCGUUUUAUGUUAUCUUUAUCCAUUCGAAUACAUCAUGUCAAGUCAACAAGAAGUUUACUUCAUUUUCCUGGAGAAUUCACUGAGAGUUGAAGGUCAAGGUGCUUCAAAUAUCAUGAGAGGUGGCUGGGCAAGUGGGUCACACCUGUAGUCCCAGCACUUUGGGAAGCUGAGGCGGAUAGGUCAGCUGAGAUCAGAAGUUGGAGUUCAGCCUGGGCAACAUGGUGAAACCCCAUCUCUACU